rnacentral:rRNA from 1 species
AUGGCGUCCCCCUCCGACGCCCAGUCUACGACGAUCAGCAGGGACUUUGACGAGGCCGCGAAAGCGGAUCUGGACGAGUUCUUCGACCAUCAGGAUCUCAAUGAUGAAGUGUUCGAGGACGUUGAGAUCGAUGAGGAUGAUCCUGAGUUGCAGGCAAGUGUGCGCUGGCUUGCCCUAGCGCGGGUUCACACGAACAAGAGUUUCAGCCCAUCGGCCUUCUAUAAGGAGAUGAGAGCGGCAUGGAAUCCAGCGCAACAAGUGAGAUUUAGGCCAGUAGGACUAAAUCGGUUCGUAGUCCAGGCUUCUUGUCUGGGUGAUUGGGAG